GCCGAAGUGGUGGAACUGGUAGACACGCCAUCUUGAGGGGGUGGUGGGCUACGCCCGUGGGGGUUCGAGUCCCCCCUUCGGCACCA
rnacentral:tRNA from 1 species